UGUAGUCCACGACGCCGGUUCCCCGUACGUCACUUCCUUGUACACCGGAAGCUCUGUGUAUCUGGUGCAUUAGCAGAGAAGACAACGCGGUAGCGAUCGGUGGAAUUCUCUCCUUACGUUUUUCUUCUAAAUAUCAAAACGUCGUACGCAAUGAGAGGAGACCGUGGCAGGGGCCGGGGAGGCCGCUUCGGUUCCCGCGGAGGGCUGGUCCAGGGGUACCGCCCUUUUGUCCCACACAUCCCCUUUGAUUUUUAUGUGUGUGAGAUGGCCUUUCCCAGAGUGAAGCCUGCAGCUGAUGAGACAGCUUUCAGUGAGUGUCUGCUGAAGAGGAACCAGGACCUCAGCCCCACACCUGCAGAGCAGUCCUCCAUCUUGUCGCUGGUCACAAAGAUCAACAAUGUCAUUGACAACCUUAUUGUUGCCCCUGGCAACUUUGAAGUGCAAAUUGAAGAGGUGCGUCAGGUUGGCUCUUAUAAGAAGGGCACAAUGACAACAGGACACAAUGUUGCUGACCUGGUUGUAAUCCUUAAGAUCCUCCCUACAUUGGAGGCAGUUGCUGCUCUCGGCAACAAAGUAGUGGAGACCCUUCGCACACAGGACCCAACUGAAGUGCUGUCCAUGCUUACCAAUGAGACUGGCUUUGAGAUAAGCUCAGCUGAUGCUACUGUCAAGAUCCUCAUCACCACGGUCCCACCCAACCUGCGCAAGCUGGACCCUGAACUGCACUUGGACAUCAAGGUCCUACAGAGUGCACUUGCUGCCAUUCGCCACGCCCGUUGGUUUGAGGAGAACGCCUCCCAGUCAACUGUGAAAGUGCUGAUCCGCCUGUUGAAGGACCUGAGAUUGCGCUUCCCUGGUUUUGAACCCCUCACUCCCUGGAUCCUGGACCUACUAGGCCAUUCUGCAGUGAUGAACAACCCCUCCAGACAGCCUCUGUCUCUGAAUGUGGCUUAUAGGCGCUGCCUGCAGAUGCUUGCUGCUGGUCUCUUUCUGCCAGGCUCUGUAGGUAUCACUGACCCCUGUGAGAGUGGAAAUUUCAGAGUGCACACAGUCAUGACUCUGGAGCAGCAGGACAUGGUGUGUUUCACAGCCCAGACACUAGUAAGAGUGCUGUCUCACGGAGGCUACAGGAAGAUCCUGGGGCUGGAGGGAGAUGCCAGCUAUCUAGCAUCAGAGAUGUCUACAUGGGAUGGUGUGAUUGUCACUCCAUCAGAGAAGGCAUAUGAGAAGCCUCCAGAGAGGAAGGAGGAAGAGGAUGAAGCUCUUGAAGAAGGAGGAGAUGGAGAAGAUGAGAGCAUGGAGACCCAGGAGUGAAGAGGAAGAAUUUUGGGUUGGAGCAUUUCAUCAUUACACCACCAUGAACCCAUUUUUAUUACUUUGGUAACCUUAUCUGAAAAGGCCCGUUCGAUUCAGCCAUCAUCCAUACUUUUCAUGUCAACUCACUACUGACCCAGACCAAAUCACACCAGCAUGAUGAACCUGCUAACUGGCAGCAGUUGGUCCUGUGAUGUCUUCAGAAAAAUGUCAGCAAACUCUGGUGUCAAUUUGUAUUGUUUUGUUUUUGUUAUUUGCAUUUUACUUUGUUACAGUAGUAGAUUGAAUUAAACAUUUUUUAUUUA